rnacentral:rRNA from 1 species
CCUACGGGUGGCAGCAGUGAGGAAUAUUGGUCAAUGGGCGGGAGCCUGAACCAGCCAAGUCGCGUGAGGGAAGACGGUCCUAUGGAUUGUAAACCUCUUUAGGCGGGGAGCAAUGCCGGGCACGUGUGCCCGGAGGGAGAGUACCCGCAGAAUAAGCAUCGGCUAACUCCGUGCCAGCAGCCGCGGUAAUACGGAGGAUGCGAGGGUUAUCCGGAUUUAUGGGGUUUAAGGGGUGCGUGGGGGGAUGUUUAAGUCAGCGGUAAAAUGUCCGGGCUCAACCCGGGCCGGCCGUUGAAACUGGGGGUCUUGAGUGGGCGAGAGGUAUGCGGAAUGCGUGGUGUAGCGGUGAAAUGCAGAGAUAUCACGAAGAACGCCGAUUGCGAAGGCAGCAUACUAGCGCCCGACGGACGCUGAGGCACGAAAGCGUGGGGAUCAAACAGGAUUAGAUACCCGAGUAGUC